rnacentral:tRNA from 1 species
GCCGAUGUAGCUCCAAUGGUAGAGCGACUGACUUGUAAUCAGUAGGUUGCCAGUUCGAAUCUGGCCAUCGGCUCCA